AAGACUAUACUUUCAGGGAUCAUUUCUACAGUAUGUUACUAGAUACAGUCCUCAGUGUUUCUUAAAAAGGGACCAGGCAGUGGCACACCUGGU
rnacentral:snoRNA from 1 species